CCUACGGGCGGCUGCAGUGGGGGAUAUUGCACAAUGCGGGAAACCCUGAUGCAGCGACGCCGCGUGGGUGAAGAAGCGCCUCGGCGCGUAAAGCCCUGUCAGCAGGGAAGAAAAUGACGGUACCUGAAGAAGAAGCCCCGGCUAACUACGUGCCAGCAGCCGCGGUAAUACGUAGGGGGCGAGCGUUCUCCGGAUUUACUGGGUGUAAAGGGGGCGCAGACGGCGAUGCAAGCCAGGAGUCAAAGCCCGGGGCCCAACCCCGGGAAUGCUCUUGGAACUGCGUGGCUAGAGUGCAGGAGGGGCAGGCGGAAUUCCUGGUGUAGCGGUGAAAUGCGUAGAUAUCAGGAGGAACACCGGUGGCGAAGGCGGCCUGCUGGACUGCAACUGACGUUGAGGCCCGAAAGCGUGGGGAGCAAACAGGAUUAGAUACCCGUGUAGUC
rnacentral:rRNA from 1 species